CAUCAGCGGUGUGCAGACGUGCAAAGUGUGCCAAUGGAAAAUUCUACUCGCCACAGAAAAUAGCGAGUCCCACAAGCAGGCAGGCCAGAGUAAUCCUGCCACCUGGCUCGGAUGGGUGCUGGAGGAGAUGUCCCAGAGGAAGGGCAAUGAAAGCCCCGGGGAGCAAUCGAGAGGUCCAACCUAAACGUGUAACCUGAGCACAA
rnacentral:lncRNA from 1 species